AGCAGGAUCAAUAUCAGCAUAUGUGACUUUGAUCCGGAGUAGGGCUCGGUGGGCGCCAUAGCACCGUUUGUGGAAACCCUCCCCGGAGGUCAGUUCCCGCGGAUCGUAGAUGGCCCCGCCUGUAGUCUGAGCGCCAGUACCCCCUGUUGGGGCAGUGUCAACUGCUCCUUGGGGGAGGUGGCGCCCCCUCUCCACCCGUCGGCCCCCCCCCCCGUUUACCAAACGGCACUUCACAGUGGAUCUCUUGGCUCGUGCAUUGAGGAAGACCGCGGCAAAAAGCGAUAUGCGCGAUGAAUUGCAGAACUACUGCGAAUCGUAGGUCGUUGAAUGCACAUGGUGCCUUCAGGGAAACUCCUGAAGGUGUGUGCGGCUCAGUGUCGCCUUUGCAUACCUCCACCACCUAUGGGCUCUUCCUUCUCGGGGAACCCGGUUCGGGGAGGCGACGUGGCGGGAAGAGGAGCUUCGGUCCCUCUGUCUCGCUGAAACAGAAAUGGUGGCUUCGGCCGUUCCUCUUCGCACAAGGUGAGCAAGUCAAACCUGCCGCCCGUACUGAAGGGAGCGCCGCCCCAGAAGAGGGCCUCACCGCCCUCUCACUUACGUUGACCUGAGCUGUGCAAAAGAACGGGCUGAACUUAAGCAUAUCAAUAAGCCCAGGAAAAGAAAGCAACUGCGAUGGCCACAGUAACGGCGAGUGAACAGGCCAUAGCCCAUCCCAGAAGCAGCGUGGUGGCUCCGGCCGUCAGGCCAUGCUGCGUUGUAGGGUAAGCACCUAUCGGCGAAAGGGCCCCAGACAGGAAGGUUGCCUGGAACGGCACUGCCACGGAGCGUGAUAGCCGCGUUGCACUGUCUGUGGGUUCGGUAAAGCCGGUGGGAGGCAAGAGUCGGGCUGUUUGGGAGUGCAGCUCUAAUUGUGAGGUAUACCCCUCAUAAGGCUAAAUAUUGGCACGAGACCGAUAGCGAACAAGUAGAGUGAUCGAAAGAUGCAAAGAACUUUGAAAAGAGAGUUAAAAGUGCGUGAAACUGUGGAGUGGUAAGGGAUGGAGACCCAUCCAAAAACGGGGUGUGUGCUGCUCAAGCCACCCCCGAGCAGCUCGGGUUCGUCGGCCCCCAUCGGCCGUGCCUGAGCUACCCCGCCUUCGGGCGUGGUAGUCGGCGCGGUGUCUUGGACUGGUGGUCGGUUGACCCGCAGGCAUGCGAGGGAGUGCCUCCUGGGGGUUUCACGUGCGUAACGCAUGCGGCGAGUGGGUACCGGCUCUCGGGCUGGUGCCUUCCUCUGCGAUUCGCUGUGUGCGGGAUGCGCGGCCCUUCGGAUGCAAUCUCGCUGAUCGCUGCUCUGUAAAUGGUCUCCAUUCACCCGUCUUGAAACACGGACCAAGGAGUCUAGCGUUUGUGCGAGUGUUGUGGUGAACGAAACCACAGCGCGGAUUGAAAGAGACUUACCUCUGAUCCCUGCCUCCGGGUGGCGGUUGCAAGAGGGGCCGUUCCUAAUUGACUGGAAAAGGAUAUGAGUUGAAGCACAGGCGCUGGGACCCGAAAGAUGGUGAUCUUUUCCUGAAUAGAGCGAAGACGGAGGAAACUUCGUUGGAGGCUCGUAGCGGUACUGACGUGCAAAUCGUUCGUCGAAUUUGGGUAAAGGGGCGAAAGACUCAUCGAACUGUCUAGUAGCUGGUUCCCUC
rnacentral:misc_RNA from 1 species